UGCUGGAGCGUCUUGAUGGCGCACCCAGAUACCCUAUGUGAACUUGUACCAUUUUGUUGCCUCGGCGCUGGCUGGGAGCUUUUGUAAACUCCCCCUCCGUUCGCGCGGAGGAGCAGGCCCGCCGACGGCCCUGAAUCCACACUCUUGUUUUGCAUACUUGUUUCUUCUGAGUAUACUUGAUAAAUAAAUCAAAACUUUCAACAACGGAUCUCUUGGUUCUGGCAUCGAUGAAGAACGCAGCGAAAUGCGAUAAGUAAUGUGAAUUGCAGAAUUCAGUGAAUCAUCGAAUCUUUGAACGCACAUUGCGCCCGCUGGUAUUCCAGCGGGCAUGCCUGUUCGAGCGUCAUUUCAACCCUCAAGCUCUGCUUGGUGUUGGGGCGCUGCCACUCCUCCUCUGCGGAGAGGCAGGCCCUGAAAUUCAGUGGCGAGCUCGCCAGGACUCCGAGCGUAGUAGUGUAUAACCUCGCUUAGGAAGGACUGGUGAUGCCCUGCCGUAAAACCCCCCCCAAUUUCUGAAUAGUUGACCUCGGAUCAGGUAGGAAUACCCGCUGAACUUAAGCAUAUCAAUAAGCGGAGGAAAAGAAACCAACAGGGAUUGCCCUAGUAACGGCGAGUGAAGCGGCAACAGCUCAAAUUUGAAAUCUGGCUUCGGCCCGAGUUGUAAUUUGCAGAGGAUGCUUCUGGCGCGGUGCCUUCCGAGUUCCCUGGAACGGGACGCCAUAGAGGGUGAGAGCCCCGUAUGGUUGGAUACCAAGCCUGUGUGAAGCUCCUUCGACGAGUCGAGUAGUUUGGGAAUGCUGCUCCAAAUGGGAGGUAAAUCUCUUCUAAAGCUAAAUACCGGCCAGAGACCGAUAGCGCACAAGUAGAGUGAUCGAAAGAUGAAAAGCACCUUGAAAAGGGGGUUAAAUAGUACGUGAAAUUGUUGAAAGGGAAGCGCUUGUGACCAGACUUGCGCCAGGCGGUUCAUCCGGCGUUCUCGCCGGUGCACUCCGCCUGGUUCAGGCCAGCAUCGGUUCUCGUGGGGGGAUAAGAACGGUGGGAAUGUGGCUCCUCUCGGGGAGUGUUAUAACCCAUCGUACGAUACCCUCGCGGGGACCGA
rnacentral:rRNA from 1 species